rnacentral:rRNA from 1 species
GAUGAACGCUGGCGGCGUGCCUAAUACAUGCAAGUCGAGCGAAUGGAUUAAGAGCUUGCUCUUAUGAAGUUAGCGGCGGACGGGUGAGUAACACGUGGGUAACCUGCCCAUAAGACUGGGAUAACUCCGGGAACCCGGGGCUAAUACCGGAUAACAUUUUGAACAUCAUGGCUCGAAAUUCAAAGGCGGCUUCGGCUGUCACUUAUGGAUGGACCCGCGUGUCAUUAGCUAGUUGGUGAGGUAACGGCUCACCAAGGCAACGAUGCGGAGCCGGCCUGAGAGGGUGAUCGGCCAAACUGGGACUGAGACACGGCCCAGACUCCUACGGGAGGCAGCAGUAGGGAAUCUUCCGCAAUGGACGAAAGCCUGACGGAGCAACGCCGCGUGAGUGAUGAAGGCUUUCGGGUCGUAAAACUCUGUUGUUAGGGAAGAACAAGUGCUAGUUGAAUAAGCUGGCACCUUGACGGUACCUAACCAGAAAGCCACGGCUAACUACGUGCCAGCCGCCGCAGUAA